rnacentral:rRNA from 2 species
UGGGGAAUAUUGCACAAUGGGGGGAACCCUGAUGAAGCAACGCCGCGUGAGUGAAGAAGUAUUUCGGUAUGUAAAGCUCUAUCAGCAGGGAAGAUAAUGACGGUACCUGAGGAGGAAGCCACGGCUAACUACGUGCCAGCAGCCGCGGUAAUACGUAGGUGGCGAGCGUUGUCCGGAUUUACUGGGCGUAAAGGGAGCGUAGGCGGACUUUUAAGUGAGAUGUGAAAUACCCGGGCUCAACUUGGGUGCUGCAUUUCAAACUGGAAGUCUAGAGUGCAGGAGAGGAGAAUGGAAUUCCUAGUGUAGCGGUGAAAUGCGUAGAGAUUAGGAAGAACACCAGUGGCGAAGGCGAUUCUCUGGACUGUAACUGACGCUGAGGCUCGAAAGCGUGGGGAGCAAACAGG